UACGUAGGGGGCUAGCGUUGUCCGGAAUCAUUGGGCGUAAAGAGCGUGUAGGCGGUCCGGUAAGUCCGCUGUGAAAGUCGGGGGCUCAACCCUCGAAUGCCGGUGGAUACUGUCGGGCUAGAGUGCGGAAGAGGCGAGUGGAAUUCCUGGUGUAGCGGUGAAAUGCGCAGAGUAUCGAGGAGGAACGACCGGUGGCGAAGGCGGGUCUCUGGGCCGGAUACUGACGCUGGAGGAGCGGAAAGCGUGGGGAGCGAACAGG
rnacentral:rRNA from 1 species